UCUCUCUCUCUCUUUCUUUCUUUCUUUCUUCUUGAAACGAACUACUUGAUUCAGAUUGUGAGAUUGUGUGGAGGGUUAGUAUUGUUUAAUAUGGAAAACCUUUUACAUCCCAAUUGCAUACCUCAGACUCAGAACACCAGUGUUUGUAGGAAGGGCUUUGAAAGGGCAAUUUGUCUAUCAACAAAACCAUAAAUACUGAUUUCUCUUUUGUUUCGAUCCUAGGUGGACAAAGAAAAGUAAAAGCUAUGCAAUGGGACCUGAAACAGGAGAGGGAGCCUAUCAGAGCAAAAGGGGAGGUAAUUAGCUGGGGAUAAUUGACAAAUUUCACACAUCUUGAAAUUUGACUUAGGGUGGGUUUUGUUUUCAAAAACAGCAAAAGCUUUUCAUACAGCUUGCAGAUAUCACCUGCAUCUGCGUCUGUAAAGUAAUAUUGUUCUCAGAAGUUUUGUCAGGUCAGAUAAUUUGAGUCUUCUUAUUUUUGUUGUUGAUCAGCCUACCUAAAGGAUUACCAAUUUUGUUGACUUUUCCAAAGAACCAAAAUUUGAUUUGGUUGGCUUAAUCUAUUGCAUGUCUAUUCUCUGUUUUCUUAAUCUUGGCUCUAAUCUUUAUUUUUUUCAUUUUCUUACUUAAUGUUUGCCUUGGAUUUUAUGUAUUUUUCCAGUAUCUUGAGGGGGAAGGUUAGAUUAUUGAUUAGAGGUUUUCUUUUUUAAUUAAGGUGUUUAUAGUUAUACAUUUUCCUUAAGCAUUUCUUUGUCUGCAUCCUGUGAGUUUUGGUAUGUUGUUUUGUUCAUUAUUUCUUUUUUUGCCCAGGUUCUUACCUAUAGUUCAGCUAUCUUUCUAUUUUCAUUCAUUUCAAGUAUUAUCUAAUUUUUUUUGGCAGUAGGGAAUAAUUUGUCUUACGGUUUAUUUUUGACCCCAUGUUGGGAGUGUACUGUUUAAUUUCUGCAUAUUUACAAAUUCCCAAAGCUGUAUUAUUGAUUUAUUUUUUUUUCUAUUGUGAUUCUGGUCUUGAAUAUCAGGAUGGGGUCCUUUUCCCCUUGAUACUGAAGAUUAAACAUUUGAGAAGUGCCAAGGCAAGAGUAGAAAGCAAAUUUUAUUUAAGAAUGGAAGACAGAAUGGGGAGGUGGGAGGGAGAGAGAGAGAACAGAGAGAGACUGGCUCCUGAGAGGAGCCUGGACCCAGAGGGGGUGACCGUGGGAAUGGUGGUGUCUUGCCCCUUCAUAGAUUUUAGGUUUCCUUUCUUCUCAUGACCCCUCCUCCUCUUAUCUUGCCUACAUGACCACAGGCAGGAAAAAAAGUAGC
rnacentral:lncRNA from 1 species